ACGACCUUACUUGAACAGGAUCUGUUCUAUAGGAUCGUACCUCUGUAUCCUUGCUCACUAAGGAGACAGGACCCCAAACCUGGUGGAUGAACCAUGGCCGUGUGAUCAGAGCGUGAUUAACGGCCUCGUUGUCUCUGUUAGAGGCACCGAACUGUAGAGGAUCGUUCUCAACUUGCUUCGGCUGGGUUGGGAUGGUCGCACGGCUGUCUGACAGGCU